GAUGAACGCUGGCGGCGUGCCUAAUACAUGCAAGUCGAGCGAAUGGAUUAAGAGCUUGCUCUUAUGAAGUUAGCGGCGGACGGGUGAGUAACACGUGGGUAACCUGCCCAUAAGACUGGGAUAACUCCGGGAAACCGGGGCUAAUACCGGAUAACAUUUGGAACCGCAUGGUUCGAAAUUGAAAGGCGGCUUCGGCUGUCACUUAUGGAUGGACCCGCGUCGCAUUAGCUAGUUGGUGAGGUAACGGCUCACCAAGGCAACGAUGCGUAGCCGACCUGAGAGGGUGAUCGGCCACACUGGGACUGAGACACGGCCCAGACUCCUACGGGAGGCAGCAGUAGGGAAUCUUCCGCAAUGGACGAAAGUCUGACGGAGCAACGCCGCGCGAGUGAUGAAGGCUUUCGGGUCGUAAAACUCUGUUGUUAGGGAAGAACAAGUGCUAGUUGAAUAAGCUGGCACCUUGACGGUACCUAACCAGAAAGCCACGGCUAACUACGUGCCAGCAGCCGCAGUAA
rnacentral:rRNA from 1 species